rnacentral:rRNA from 1 species
CGAAGGGGCGUAGCGUUACUCGGAAUUACUGGGCGUAAAGGGACGCGUAGGCGGCUUGGUAAGUCAGGCGUGAAAUUCCCGGGCUCAACCUGGGGACUGCGCUUGAGACUGCUGGGCUAGAGGAUGGAAGAGGGUCGUGGAAUUCCCAGUGUAGAGGUGAAAUUCGUAGAUAUUGGGAAGAACACCGGUGGCGAAGGCGGCGACCUGGUCCAUUACUGACGCUGAGGCGUGACAGCGUGGGGAGCAAACAGGAUU